rnacentral:rRNA from 1 species
CCCGACGUGGCGGGACGGGUGGAGUAACGCGUGGGUAACCUGCCCUGUACAGGGGGACAACAGCCGGAAACGGCUGCUAAUACCGCAUAAGCCCGCGGCGCCGCAUGGCGCUGCGGGGAAAACUCCGGUGGUACAGGAUGGGCCCGCGUCUGAUUAGCUAGUUGGCGGGGUAACGGCCCACCAAGGCAGCGAUCAGUAGCCGGCUUGAGAGAGUGGACGGCCACAUUGGGACUGAGACACGGCCCAGACUCCUACGGAAGGCAGCAG